UACAGAGGUCCCGAGCGUUGUUCGGAUUCACUGGGCGUAAAGGGCGCGUAGGUGGCCCGGUCAGUUCGUGGUGAAAGCGCGGGGCUCAACCCUGCGUCGGCCAUGAAUACUGCCGCGGCUGGAGCACUGUAGAGGCAGGCGGAAUUCCGGGUGUAGCGGUGGAAUGCGUAGAGAUCCGGAAGAACACCGGUGGCGAAGGCGGCCUGCUGGGCAGUUGCUGACACUGAGCGCGACAGCGUGGGAGCAACAGGA
rnacentral:rRNA from 1 species